UCGGCAUACUGCUCAGUAACACGUGGAUAACCUGCCCUGUGCUCCGGGAUAACCUCGGGAAACUGAGAAUAAUACCGGAUAGUCCACCACGCCUGGAACGGUGGGUGGAUCAAAGGUCACGGCACAGGAUGGGUCUGCGGCGUAUCAGGUUGUAGGGGGUGUAAAGGACCCCCUAGCCAUUGACGCGUACGGGUUGUGGGAGCAAUCGCCCGGAGAUGGAUUCUGAGACACGAAUCCAGACCCUACGGGGUGCAGCAGGCGCGAAAACUUCACACUGCAGGAAACUGUGAUGAGGGAACUCCAAGUGCAUGCACAAUGUGUAUGCUUUUCCUAACUUUUAAUCGGUUAGGGAAUAAGGGCUGGGAAAGACCGGUGCCAGCCGCCGCGGUAAUACCGGCAGCUCAAGUGGUCGUCGCUUUUAUUGGGCCUAAAACGUCCGUAGCCUGUUUGGUAAAUCUGUGGGUAAAUCAACCAGCUUAACUGGUUGAAUUCUGCAGAGACUGCCAGACUAGGGACCGGGAGAGGUGUGGGGUACCCUCGGGGUAGGGGUAAA
rnacentral:rRNA from 1 species